GCGAAGAACCUUACCUGGUCUUGACAUCCACAGAACUUUCCAGAGAUGGAUUGGUGCCUUCGGGAACUGUGAGACAGGUGCUGCAUGGCUGUCGUCAGCUCGUGUUGUGAAAUGUUGGGUUAAGUCCCGCAACGAGCGCAACCCUUAUCCUUUGUUGCCAGCGGUCCGGCCGGGAACUCAAAGGAGACUGCCAGUGAUAAACUGGAGGAAGGUGGGGAUGACGUCAAGUCAUCAUGGCCCUUACGACCAGGGCUACACACGUGCUACAAUGGCGCAUACAAAGAGAAGCGACCUCGCGAGAGCAAGCGGACCUCAUAAAGUGCGUCGUAGUCCGGAUUGGAGUCUGCAACUCGACUCCAUGAAGUCGGAAUCGCUAGUAAUCGUGGAUCAGAAUGCCACGGUGAAUACGUUCCCGGGCCUUGUACACACCGCCCGUCACACCAUGGGAGUGGGUUGCAAAAGAAGUAGGUAGCUUAACCUUCGGGAGGGCGCUUACCACUUUGUGAUUCAUGACUGGGGUGAAGUCGUAACAAGGUAACCGUAGGGGAACCUGCGGUUGGA
rnacentral:rRNA from 1 species